UAAUAGGUACUUUUAAAAUACUAAUAUGCUCUUUUUAGAGGUAAAUUAGGUACACAGAUGUACCUUUGGAAACAGCACUGCUUCAGUGACCGCAUUUGUAUUUAUUUUUGAGUUUUUUUUCAGAGAAUGUAGGACAACAGAUUGUCACAAGUAUAACAUGCUAGCGCUGGUUGAUAUACACAACCACUGCGAAAAACAGUUUAUAAUAAGUGUCUUAUAUUCAAACAGUCGGACACCCAGACUAAAAAAUGACUUGAAAUGAUCCCAUCUACAAUAAUAACCUGUGAGAACUUGAAGUGGGCUGAAUAGCUGGAGGGAGAGUCGCAGUAAAUCAUGUUGCCCUGAGAGCAAAGCUAUGUGGGCCGGUAAGAGGACACUGCUCUGUGUAAGAGGGCUUCUUGUUUGUGCUCACACCUUAAUUUCAACAGCUCUUCUCUGGCCAGCCACAGCAAGAGUUUUUAUUUUAGGUGUGUAGCAUGGUGAAAGAUUACAUAAUGUAUAUAUAUUAUGUGUUGUUUGUCACUUUAUGGACACAGAUGUGCUGAGAGCAGUCUAAAACAUUAAAUGGUACAUGCUUUAUGAUAAGCAAUAAACAAGGGAAUAUCUCCCAUGGUUGUUUUUUUUUUAUUAUUAUUUUUAUUUAAUUUUUUUGUACUCAAAUAUGUGAGCAGACACAGAGAACUUGCUUCAGCUGUAAACCCUGAAAGAGUUAAAUUCUCUUAUUCUUGCUAUGUAACAGCCUCUGUCACUUGUAGCUUUGUGUUGGUCACAUUUGGCAAAGAA